CACAUGAGGAUAAAGUAGUCGUCCUCCCCUCAGGAGGAUGCAGCAGUAAGAAACCAUCUUGGAAACAGAAAGCAGCUCUCAUCAGACAACCGAACCUGCACAUGCCUUGAUUUUGGGAUUCCCAAACUCCAGAACUAUACAGAAAUGGAGGCAUGGAGAUGGAAGAUAAUUGACCACGACUAUAAUAAAUGAUGCUUGUAUUAGUCCAUUUUCACGCUGCUGAUGAAGGCAUACCCGAGACUGGGAGGAAAAGGAGGUUUAAUGGACUUACAGUUCCACAUGGCUGGGGAGGCCUCACAAUCAUAGCAGAAGGUCUCCUUUCUGAAAAGUCUCACUUCAAGCCAUGGUGUAUAAAAGCUGACUUACUGCUGGGUAUGUGUGUCCAACAGAAGCACUGUGUCUACCAAUGUCUAUGGAGAGG